rnacentral:rRNA from 1 species
UCUGGGAGUAAACGGGUGGUACCCGAAAGUUCGAAAGGGGAGAUUCAAGUCUCGCCGCGCGCUGGGCGGCGGACGCGAGCAGAGAUGGUGUUUUUGCGAUUGAGGGGCAACUCUUGGUCCAGAGGCACCACUCCGCGGCCGCUGUUUGUCCUGGUGUCGGAGUGACGCACUUCUCCCCGAGUAGGACGUCGCGACCCGUCAAGCGCUGGUCUAAGGUCAUGGGAGGAGUCUAUGCAGUCUGUUUAGGCCGACUGCACAUGACCCUGUGAAUUCUGGCCAGGUGCAUGACGGUAUGAAGCAUGGAAGGAGUCGACGCGCCAAUAUUUGGCGUCCGGCCCUCUGCAAGCGCCUGCGGGAGUCUAGGCUGCGGGCCUGGCCCGAUUCUGGACCCUCUGCGGGGCUGUUUGCGAUGAGGAGGUGUUCUCGGAUGGCGUUGAUUCUCCAGUCAGCGACGCUUCAGCUUGGAUGGCCUACCCGACCC